UGGGGAAUAUUGGACAAUGGGGGAAACCCUGAUCCAGCAAUGCCGCGUGAGUGAAGAAGGCCUUAGGGUUGUAAAGCUCUUUCGCCCGCGAAGAUAAUGACGGUAGCGGGAGAAGAAGCCCCGGCUAACUCCGUGCCAGCAGCCGCGGUAAUACGGAGGGGGCCAGCGUUGUUCGGAAUUACUGGGCGUAAAGCGUACGUAGGCGGAUGCGCAAGUUGGGGGUGAAAUCCCGGGGCUUAACCUCGGAAUUGCCCUCAAAACUGCACGUCUUGAGACCGAGAGAGGUAAGGGGAAUUCCUAGUGUAGAGGUGAAAUUCGUAGAUAUUAGGAAGAACACCAGUGGCGAAGGCGCCUUACUGGCUCGGUACUGACGCUGAGGUACGAAAGCGUGGGGAGCAAACA
rnacentral:rRNA from 1 species